GACGAAAUGGCUGAUAUAAUAGCGAUGGAUUGUAAAUCUAUUAAUGAGGAUUGUUUUUCUCUUUUGUU
rnacentral:tRNA from 1 species